AGAGGGGCGGUCAGCAAAAAGUGAACCGUUUUGGAUCAAGGCAUGGUAGGCAAGGUAGCCGGGCAAGGUAGCGAUCAGCAACGAAAAUAGCGGGGCGAGGGCCGAUGUGGAGAGUGAUAACGGGGCCGAACUUAGCGUGGAGGGAACGAAUGACGGGCUCGAGUUCGGCGAAGGAUUUGCGGAGCCAUAGAAUGUUGCCGAUGAUAGGAAAGUUAAGGGGACCAGGAGGGAGGUUGAGGUUGGGGUUGGGAUCCUUGGAAGUAAAGAAAAGGUCGAUGAGAGCUUUCAGAAAUGCAGAAAUGGCGAUGCAGAUGAAGAUGAGGAACCACGUCUCCAUGAGAUAGAAGUGUGAGCUCUCCGCAAAUGGAUUGAUUUUUCUGAGCCAACUACAUUUUCAGUGAUACAAGGAACAUAAAAUACAAGCGAA
rnacentral:misc_RNA from 1 species